GACAUGUUAAGAACGAUUUUGAAUCGUCUUCCACUAAGGACAAAUAAGUUCUUAUGAUUAAUGCUUCUGCCAAUUCUAACCCAAAAGGAAAGAAAAGGUAGAAGAAGGAUCAAAGAACUAAAUUUUGCAUCCUAAGGUGGAAACCAAAAGAAGCAGAAGUUACCCAAAGAUGAAAUACCUUUUGUCAAGAAAAGGACACUGGAAGGAAUAAUGUUUGAUGUUCAAAACAUUGGAUGUUUUGAUAGCAGGAUUUGGUAUGUUUAUCAUUGAGGUGAACAUGUCUACUAACAACUCAUGCUCUUGGGUAUUAGAUACGAGUUAUAGUUCAUACAUUUUAAUGUGUGUUGUCUAACUAAAAACAAGAGAGUGAGACCAAAGAAAUCUGACUUGCGCAUUUGUUUUGAGCAAUAGUUGCUGCUAAAUGCAUAAGGUCUUAUGGAUUUGAUCUAUCUUUGGGUUUGUGGACAUGUUAGAUUGUUAUUUUGAUCUUGGAAUUAUGAGGAAUAUAAUUUCCAUUCUCGUGUUAGACAUUGAAGUUUUUCAUUCCAUUUUGCGAAUAGAAUUUAUUCUACUUUGCUUAAUGGAGAUGAAAAUAUUUCACUUGAGAAUGCUUUAUAUUUGCUCAAUGCGAACAAAAUAUCCUCAAUGUGUAAAAUAAACCAUCACAAGCAAUGCGAAUAGUCCGACUUAACUUUGGCAUGUAGGCUUGGUCACUUAAUGAGAAAUGAUUAACAAGAUCGAGAAAGUUAGACUAUC
rnacentral:lncRNA from 1 species